CCCUUAGAUGUCCUGGGCUGCACGCGCGCUACACUGAUGUGUCCAGUAAGCACCUAACCUCUUCCGAAAGGAACGGGUAACCUUUGCAAAGCACAUCGUGAUGGGGAUAGAUUAUUGCAAUUAUUAGUCUUGAACGAGGAAUUCCUAGUAAGCACAAGUCAUCAGCUUGCGUUGAUUACGUCCCUGCCCUUUGUACACACCGCCCGUCGCUACUACCGAUUGAAUGGUUUAGUGAGAUCCUUGGAUCGGCCCUGUCGCGGCUGGCAACGGCCGCGUCGGCGCGUCGAGAAGACGAUCAAACUUGAUCAUUUAGAGGAAGUAAAAGUCGUAACA
rnacentral:rRNA from 1 species